CAGCCGUAAACUAUGCUCGCUAGGUGUCAGGCAUGGCGCGACCGUGUCUGGUGCCGCAGGGAAGCCGUGAAGCGAGCCACCUGGGAAGUACGGCCGCAAGGCUGAAACUUAAAGGAAUUGGCGGGGGAGCACAACAACGGGUGGAGCCUGCGGUUUAAUUGGACUCAACGCCGGACAACUCACCGGGGGACGACAGCAAUAUGUAGGCCAGGCUGAAGACCUUGCCUGAAUCGCUGAGAGGAGUGCAUGGCGUAGACGUCU
rnacentral:rRNA from 1 species